rnacentral:rRNA from 1 species
AGAAUCAACGCUGGCGGCGUGCCUAACACAUGCAAGUCGCACGAGAAAGGGGAGCAAUCCCUGAGUAAAGUGGCGCACGGGUGAGUAACACGUGAAUCAUCUACCUCCGAGUAGGGAAUAACCUAGAGAAAUCUGGGCUAAUACCGCAUAACACUUACGAGUCAAAGCAGCAAUGCGCUUGGAGAGGAGUUCGCGGCCGAUUAGUUAGUUGGCGGGGUAAUGGCCCACCAAGCGAUGAUCUGUA